rnacentral:rRNA from 1 species
UGGGGAAUCUUGGACAAUGGGGGCAACCCUGAUCCAGCCAUGCCGCGUGAGUGAUGAAGGCCUUAGGGUCGUAAAGCUCUUUCGCCAGGGAUGAUAAUGACAGUACCUGGUAAAGAAACCCCGGCUAACUCCGUGCCAGCAGCCGCGGUAAUACGGAGGGGGUUAGCGUUGUUCGGAAUUACUGGGCGUAAAGCGCGCGUAGGCGGAGCAGAAAGUUGGGGGUGAAAUCCCGGGGCUCAACCCCGGAACUGCCUCCAAAACUCCUGGUCUAGAGUUCGAGAGAGGUGAGUGGAAUUCCGAGUGUAGAGGUGAAAUUCGUAGAUAUUCGGAGGAACACCAGUGGCGAAGGCGGCUCACUGGCUCGAUACUGACGCUGAGGUGCGAAAGUGUGGGGAGCAAACAGGAUUAGAUACCCCCGUAGUCC